GAAGAACUUGAUCUCCUUGUUGCCUAUUGCUCCGCCAGAUACAGCGGAAAGCUGGAUUGCUCAAUCUGUAGGGUGACGGGGCUUGUGAGGUUGGACAAGCACAUUGAUUCGUCCCAUAGGGAUAUAUCGAGAAAUGAGCGUGCGGAUCUG